rnacentral:rRNA from 1 species
UACGUAGGGUGCAAGCGUUAAUCGGAAUUACUGGGCGUAAAGCGAGCGCAGGCGGUUUUGUAAGUCUGACGUGAAAUCCCCGGGCUCAACCUGGGAAUUGCGUUGGAGACUGCAAGGCUAGAAUCUGGCAGAGGGGGGUAGAAUUCCACGUGUAGCAGUGAAAUGCGUAGAGAUGUGGAGGAACACCGAUGGCGAAGGCAGCCCCCUGGGUCAAGAUUGACGCUCAUGCACGAAAGCGUGGGGAGCAAACAGG